UGUAAUCUCACCAUAAGCAUACAUCAUUUAACUAGCUAGACAAAGAGAUAUAAUAGUAAAUCCAAGAAUUGAAACCAAUUAUUACAUGCAUGAUUCACCGAUUGAUUAUUACCAACAUAUAAUCUCUUAGUGAAUGAUUGUUAAUUAGUAAACUGUAUUUAUAAUAUACCUGAAGCAUGUCUCCAACGUUAAUGAUCAGACCUCCAGGAAGAGGCUUAACGUCCACCCAGUCAUCCUCAUGCCUAACUUGCAACCCAGGCACAUCGUUCUGCAACAGAACUGUCACUAUCCCAGGAUCAGUAUGCGACUUAAUUCCCACAGUCCGGUCAGGUUGAGGACAGUAGGGAUAGCAGUGCCCCACAAGCGCCCUCUUCUCCGAAAACGUAAGCUCCUU
rnacentral:lncRNA from 1 species